CUAAAAUAAGAGCCCGAGUUUGCUCUGCAACGAAGACAGCACGAGGGAGGACACAAUAACACAAAUGUGCCCUUGUUGUGGGAACGCUCACACCAGGCUAGUCUAACCCAUUUGCCAACUCUAUAGUGAAGACAUACCCUAAAAUGUGAAUCCAUUUCAGUAUGCUUUGCAAUGGACCUACUCCUUUAUUUAACGUUAUUAAUUGUAUUUUUGGAUGCCCUACUUGAGGUAAUCAUUACUUCCAAAAUCUUGCAUUGAAUUUAAAAUAGUAUUAAGCUCAUCACGCUAUUAAUCCAACAUGGGACUCUUACAGGAAUCAGGUAUAACAGAAGCAAUCUUGGAGUAGGCAGACAACAGUGAUAUUUUUGUGGUUUUGGAAGUAACUCAGUGAGUUUUGCAAAACAAUACAGAUUGAGUUAGUAUACAAAAAUGACAGGGAGCUAGCCAGGGUGAUAAGAGGAACUUUAUGCUGCCAUGGGAUAAAUGCCCAGGUAUUGCAAGCUAAGCAUUCGUUUUCACACUAAUACUGUUUGAGUCCACAAAUUACUAAUUACAUUUAUAGGCAACCUUUGCCUUUGGUGGUGUCAGUGAGCUGGAAAUGUUUUUCUUCUUAAAAGUCUAGGAAAUGAUAUACAAAAACCUACAUUUGCUAGGACUGCACAUUCAAGCACCCAAAAGCCCAAGAAUGCAAAAGUUAUGGUUGAAAUACUCAACUUAAAUUUUACCUUCUUGCAUGUACACAGUGAUCAUUUUAUUGAAUGUAUAUGCUACAUCUUUGCCUACGGUUGUAGAAGAAGCUGCUAUAAUAUAUUGGUCAGAAAACUUAAUGCAGUCUCAUACAUAUAAAGAUAGCAUGACCGUGCAUGCAAUGGGAUAGAGUUAAGGGGGUGUGUUCAACCUUAACUUUUACAUUAGAUUAAAUGUAGAUGCUUAACUAUACGCUCUUAAUGUUGCAUUAAUGUUGUAUGCUUGCAUUUAAUUGGGAAGAAGUUCAGAAAUUCUAUUUCACUACCUAGAUCGCUAUCAGAGGAGGUAGUAAAGGCAUUCUCUUUGCAGAACAAGUUUAGAUAAGACAUUAGAUGAAGUGAUGCAGGCAGUUAUCUUGCUGAGGGUCAGACUGGGUGAUACAAGUGAUCUUUUCUGUGAUUCUAUGCCAUUGCAAAUAGUGACUGACCUUCUGUAGAGAUAAAAUUGCUGAUUACAAGCUGAAGUCAUCCAGACUGAGUUUCUCAUCCAAGCUUCACAGAAGCUGUCCAGAUGUACUUUUAUGGCAGUAAAAAUAUUUUAAAGGUAACAUGCAAAGCAUUUUUUUAAAACUGGGUUUGUUCACUCAUUUUGUGUGUGUUUUUUUUUUUUUAUGGUGUAUAAAGAAGGGCUAAAAAGCAGUAGGAGUUUUUUUUAUGUUUUUAUCUUAGAAAUAUUUGAAAUAUCAAGUCUGAUCUUCAUUGAGAUCCAAGAGAAAUCUUCCAGCAAAACAGAGCAUGUGUAUUAUGAGCUCUUGCAUCUUAAUGGCAGAACUGAGGCAUUGAAUCUUUAAUCACAACGUUCUUUCUCCGAAAUGUUAAUUGGACAUUGGUGUGAAAUCUUAACUAUAAGAAACAAUUUGAAACAAUCUGACUAAAGAAUGUUAAUAUUGUUUGUUUGUUGGCUUUUAAAAAAUCUGGGAAGUUAAUGACAAAAAUUAGAUUAAAAGAAUGUUAAGGUUGCAAAAGUUAGGAAGUGCCAGAAUUAAGGUUGGUUGUUACCUUAAUUUGAUUCCCUUGUGCAUAUUUACUAUAAAACCAUCAGUCAUAACAUAAUCUCAUACUAUUUUUCACCACAGGACUUCACCUCAUUCAGUGCACAACGAAUGAGGCCAGAGGUUUCAAGAAGAGAGAAGAUAUUUUCUUAUUUUAAGGGCCUGCUGCCUGCUACAGAUACAGAAAUCUAGAUGGGAUUUCAGAGAUAAGAGAUGGUUUUCUCAGGUUUUGGAAGUAAUAGAGUACUUGGUCACUGACUCCUCACCUGAAGGACAGUUGUAUGCUUAAACUUGGAAGGCUCUGCAUUGGGGUUCUUCAGCUCUCUUAAUUUCCAGAUUCUCUUUUCCAGAAGAAAUGGACCCUAUGUGUGAGAGCCAUCCAAGUCAAUAAUGUGACAACGAUAACAUUGAAAGUCUGCUGGAGAAGAAUCACUAAUUCCUAUAAGAAGUGGGUUGGUUUUUUUCCAUCCCUUAUAAAACAGACCACCUCAAAAUCUGCAAACAAAAUGCCAGCUAAGACACCCAUCUACCUGAAAGCUGCCAAUAAUAAGAAAGGGAAGAAAUUCAAAUUAAGGGAUAUUUUGUCGCCUGAUAUGAUCAGUCCACCACUUGGAGACUUUCGCCACACCAUACACAUUGGGAAAGAGGGACAACAUGAUGUUUUUGGGGACAUCUCAUUUCUGCAAGGAAAUUAUGAGCUGUUACCUGGGAAUGAGGGAACACCAAGAGUUGGUCAGUUUGGUGGACAUAAUGAGUUCUUAAGGGCAAACAGCACCUGUGACUCCAUGUUUACAGAAACUCCUUCACCCGUGCUCAAAAAUGCCAUCUCGCUUCCUGCCAUUGGUGGUUCUCAAGCCCUUGUGUUGCCCUUAUUAUCACCAGUGACAUUUAAUUCAAAGCGGGACUCCUUUGGGCCAUCAAAGAAUCCAAGGCUUAGUUGUGAGCCAGUAAUGGAAGAAAAAUUGCGGGAGAAAAGCAAACAGUUGGAGAAUGGGGAAAUGUACAAAGAUGACAUCCUAUGGGAGCCGAACGGUUCUGGGUCGCAUUAUACUAAUGGCAGAGAGAGUCAUUCAUCCAGCCUUUCUGAACAAUGCACUGAUUGGCAAACAGUUGACUUACUUGAUGACAGUCAUCUCUCAUGUGAACUAACCAAGGCAGAGACUAAGUCAGAAGAAUCCCUUUCAGAUCUUGCAGGCUCGCUUCUUUCAUUGCAGCUUGACCUGGGACCCUCACUUCUGGAUGAGGUCCUCAAUGUAAUGGACAAAAAUAAAUCCUAGGACUGGUGUACUUUUUUGCCUCUUUGUAAAUGAUGCAUUUUUUAAAAAAAAACAAACUGAAGAAUAUAUAUAUUAAAAGAUCAGCUGUAUUUGCAGUUUGGGUUUUCUAAAAAUAAUCUUUAAAAAUAUUUUUUUAUGUUUUUCAUGUGAUGGUUUGUUUUUUUUUGUUUGUUUUUUUGUUUUUUUUUUAAGUAUGGUAAACAUCUCGUAGCAAGAGGAUACAUUUUAAUAAAAGUUUUCAGCAAGCAUACAAAUGUCUUUCAAAUACCAGUAUUAGUUAUCAGAAAAUUAAGAAAUGUUGUUGGGGGAUGAUAAUACUACUUGUGACCAUUAGCUUAAUUGACCUUCAGUGGCUUUUGAGUAAUCAAUCUGUAAGCAUCAGACUAGAGACUUAGGAGGUGAAGAAUAAAUAUUAACUAUUUCAACAUUGCUUUACAUCUAAGAUUCUUUCUAGAAUCUUAAAUUGUUUUCAUUAGUACUAUUUCUUUUAGCUGCACUGUAACUAGUUCUUCAGUGUUAAACUAUUGCUCUGUGUUCAAAUGUGAACAGCUUGGGGUUGUUCAAUUUUAAAUAUAGGCCAGAACCUCAGGUGCUAAGGAUCUGGCCCUAUAUCUAUAGAUCAGAUCAUAGAUCAUAUGUUGUAAACACAGGUAACACAAACAAAAUAUUACUGUAUUUAAAUUAUUUUAAAAGUUAAAAUAUAUAUUUUUGUGCUUAUUUGGCUUUUUUUUUUUUUUUUUUUUUUUUUUACUGCAGAGUCUACAUUUACAGAUAGAGUAUCAUCGAAGUAGUUGCUUGACUUCAUUGGUGGUCCUCUGUAAACUGUAUUUUUGAGUGUUUGAAAAAAUAUGUAUUGAUAACUUAGCUUUUUCCUUCAUUUACUACCAGAAAUGCUUAAACUUUCAACUGAUUGUCACCUUUUAAAGAAGGCACUGAUUACUCACAGCGUGUAAAGAGACUGUGCUGCAAUGUGAUGUUUGGGGAAAUGUGGAUCCUUUAUUACACUACAUACAUAAAUUGCAUAGAUACUCUGAGCAAUACAAUAAAGAAUAAAUGUUUAAAUUC